AUUGAACGCUGGCGGUAGGCCUAACACAUGCAAGUCGAACGGCAGCACAGUAAGAGCUUGCUCUUACGGGUGGCGAGUGGCGGACGGGUGAGGAAUACAUCGGAAUCUACUUUUUCGUGGGGGAAAACGUAGGGAAACUUACGCUAAUACCGCAUACGACCUACGGGUGAAAGCAGGGGAUCUUCGGACCUUGCGCGAUUGAAUGAGCCGAUGUCGGAUUAGCUAGUUGGCGGGGUAAAGGCCCACCAAGGCGACGAUCCGUAGCUGGUCUGAGAGGAUGAUCAGCCACACUGGAACUGAGACACGGUCCAGACUCCUACGGGAGGCAGCAGUGGGGAAUAUUGGACAAUGGGCGCAAGCCUGAUCCAGCCAUACCGCGUGGGUGAAGAAGGCCUUCGGGUUGUAAAGCCCUUUUGUUGGGAAAGAAAAGCAGCAGGUUAAUACCUCGCUGUUCUGACGGUACCCAAAGAAUAAGCACCGGCUAACUUCGUG
rnacentral:rRNA from 1 species